GUCUUCGAUGACUCAGUCGGAUAAAGUGCCUGCCAUGCAAGCAGGAGAUCCCGGGUUCGAGUCCCGGUCAGGGCA